rnacentral:rRNA from 1 species
CAAUAGCGUAUAUUAAAGUUGUUGCAGUUAAAAAGCUCGUAGUUGGAUUUCGGGAUGGGCCAGUCGGUCUGCCGUAAGGUAUGUUACUGGCUGGUCUGUCCUUCUUCGCAAAGACUGCGUGUGCCCUUAAUUGUGUGUGCGUAGGAUUUGCGACGUUUACUUUGAAAAAAAUUAGAGUGUUCAAAGCAGGCUGACCGCUUGAAUACAUGAGCAUGGAAUAAUGGAAUAGGACUUUGGUUCUAUUUUUGUUGGUUUUCUUGAACCGAAGUAAUGAUUAAGAGGGACAGUUGGGGGCAUUCGUAUUUCGUUGUCAGAGGUGAAAUUCUUGGAUUUACGAAAAGAC